CAGAAAGCAAUCGAGAGGAGAACCAGCAGCCUCCAAUAAGAGCCAGCCAGAGAAACUAAUAAAACUCUCACCGCCGCCAUCCGAGAGAACAAGCCAACCGACCCCGUCCCCAAGGCAAUCCGUCGCCGACGUACCACCGCCACCGCAGGAGCGAGAUGGAGAUGAAGAGGAUCCUCUUCGCCGUCCUCGUCGUCAUCGCCGCCUCGGCCACCGCAGUGCUGGCCUCCACCGAGGCCGCCGCCGCGGGCGCCCCAACUGCCUCCGAGUCGUCCGCCGAGGCUCCCGCUGGCGCUGGCGCUGGCGCUGCCGCUGGCGCCGCCGCCGCGGGGCCCUCCGCCAGCAGCGGCGCGCCCGCCCUCGCCGCCGCGCCCGCCGCGCUCCUCUUCUCCCUCCUCGCCUACUACCUCCACUAAGCGUGUGCGUGCUUACGUACGCGCGCAUGGACGACGAUGGAUCCGUCCACCGUUGCCAUUGCAGUUGCCUCGCUCGUUCUUGGUGACUGUUGCUGCGGUGGUCGACUUGGAAGACGUCACCUGCACCGCUGUUUCCAUAUAUUAUUAUUGAUGUGAUCUGAUAUGAAUAUAUAUGCAUGGUGACGGGUUGUGUUAAUUACAUAGACGUGAUUUAAUUUAUCUAUUUGUGUCAAGUCGUUCUGUAAUCAUGCGAUGAAAUAUAUGAUUUGGUUUUCCAUUUGUUUGAAAUGCACAUUGUGUCCUCCUCUCCAUCUUUUACCCAAGUCCAUUCGACUUUCCCUAACUAUAGCAUGGAUUUAUCUUUCUUAACUAUAAAAUUAGUUUUUUAGAUUCUUCCAAUUAGAAAACCUCCCUGUUG
rnacentral:lncRNA from 1 species